rnacentral:misc_RNA from 1 species
AUAAAUAGAUUUGAUCGACUUAUAAGUUAAAUUAAAUAUUUUUUAAAAUUUUAUAAACAAAAAAAGAAUAAUUAUUGAGCUAAUAAGACAGCAACUAAAAAAUUAUAAAAAUAUAAAGGAAAGUGAGCCGAUAUUUUUGAAAAGGAAGCAUUGAGGGAUAUCAAUUUCCAAGUAAAGGGAUAGGGAUAUAAUAGAAUAGAAUAGAAUAGAA